GAUGAACGCUGGCGGCGUGCCUAAUACAUGCCAGUCGAGCGAACAGACGAGGAGCUUGCUCCUCUGACGUUAGCGGCGGACGGGUGAGUAACACGUGGAUAACCUACCUAUAAGACUGGGAUAACUUCGGGAAACCGGAGCUAAUACCGGAUAAUAUAUUGAACCGCAUGGUUCAAUAGUGAAAGACGGUUUUGCUGUCACUUAUAGAUGGAUCCGCGCCGCAUUAGCUAGUUGGUAAGGUAACGGCUUACCAAGGCAACGAUGCGUAGCCGACCUGAGAGGGUGAUCGGCCACUCUGGAACUGAGACACGGUCCAGACUCCUACGGGAGGCAGCAGUAGGGAAUCUUCCGCAAUGGGCGAAAGCCUGACGGAGCAACGCCGCGUGAGUGAUGAAGGUCUUCGGAUCGUAAAACUCUGUUAUUAGGGAAGAACAAAUGUGUAAGUAACUAUGCACGUCUUGACGGUACCUAAUCAGAAAGCCACGGCUAACUACGUG
rnacentral:rRNA from 1 species